rnacentral:rRNA from 1 species
UACGAAGGGGGCAAGCGUUGUUCGGAAUUACUGGGCGUAAAGGGCGCGUAGGCGGCUUAUCAAGUCAGGCGUGAAAUUCCCGGGCUCAACCUGGGGGGCUGCGCUUGAUACUGAUGAGCUUGAAUGCGGGAGAGGAUAGUGGAAUUCCCAGUGUAGAGGUGAAAUUCGUAGAUAUUGGGAAGGACACCGGUGGCGAAGGCGGCUAUCUGGCCCGUAAUUGACGCUGAGGCGCGAAAGCGUGGGGAGCAAACAGG